rnacentral:lncRNA from 1 species
GAGCUUUCACCGUAAGGGCGGGAGGAGUGCCGGCAGGAGGUAGAGCCAUGCCAGCAGGUGGGGGAGCCGUGUCAGCAGGAGGUGGAGCCGUGCCAGAAGGUUCAGGACCCAUACCAGUGGGACGUGGAGCCACAUCAGAAGGUGGAGCCAUACCAGAAAGCGGUGGAGCCAUGCCAGCAGGUGGGGGAGCCGUGUCAGCAGGAGGUGGAGCCGUGCCAGAAGGUUCAGGGCCCAUACCAGUGGGACGUGGAGCCACAUCAGAAGGUGGAGCCAUACCAGAAAGCAGUGGAGCCAUGCCAGUGGAAAGUGGGGGAGCCAUGUCAGCGGGAGGUUGAGACAUGCCCGCAGAUGGUGGAGCCAUGCCCGUGGGUGGUAAAGCCAUGCCAUCGGAAGGUGUACCAGCCAGUGGCAUUCCGCGAUGUGGCACGGAAACUUGAGCUUUGCUGGUAGGAGGUGUAUGACAUGGCAAUGUGCUGGCUGAAGCUAUGUUAACAGCAGGCA